UUCGAUUGAGCAUAACAGGGAAUCCGGUGCGAAUCCGGAGCAGUGCCCGCUACUGUAUCAUCCAUCUAUCGAAAGUUCUCUACUGCCACUGUAUUACGUAUAUGGGAAGGCGAACUUUCAGGAUGAAGUCAGGAAACCUGCCAAAGUAUAA
rnacentral:ncRNA from 1 species